UGGAUCUGGAAAGGCAUUAUCUGGUACUUCAUAUAUAUUACCGUGUAUAGGGAUAUGAAUA
rnacentral:sRNA from 1 species